rnacentral:misc_RNA from 1 species
UCCGGCUUGUCACCGGCGGUUUCCCCAGAGUGCCCGCCAUUACGCGCUGGCAACUGAGGAUGGGGGUUGCGCUCGUUGCGGGACUUAACCCAACAUCUCACGACACGAGCUGACGACAGCCAUGCAGCACCUGUGCGGCGUCCGGCCGAACCGAAGGGCCCAUCUCUGGACCCGCGACGCCCAUGUCAAGGGCUGGUAAGGUUCUGCGCGUUGCAUCGAAUUAAAGAACAUGCUCCGCUGCUUGUGCGGGCCCCCGUCAAUUCUUUCGAGUUUUAGCCUUGCGGCCGUACUCCCCAGGCGGAACACUUAUCGCGUUGGCUUCGGCACAGACAGAUUCGACUCCGCCCACACCUAGUGUUCAUCGUUUACGGCGUGGACUAC